UAUAGCUCAGUCGGUGGGGGAUGAGACUCUUAAUCUCAGGGUCUGGGUUCGAGCCCCAUGUUGGACAA